AGCAGCCGCGGUAAUUCCAGCUCCAAUAGCGUAUAUUAAAGUUGUUGCAGUUAAAAAGCUCGUAGUUGAAUUUCGGGAUCAAUAUGUCGGUCGUGCCUUCGGUACGUACUGGCAUCAUUGGUUUCUCCCUUCUGACAAACCAUGAUGUCAUUAAUUUGGUGUUAUGGGGAGUUAGGACUGUUAUUUUAGAAAAAAUUAGAGUGUUUAAAGCAGGCAUUAGCUUGAAUACAUUAGCAUGGAAUAAUGAAAUAGGACGUUUGACCCUAUUUUGUUGGUUUUUAGGAUCGACGUAAUGAUUAAUAGGGAUAGUUGGGGGCAUUAGUAUUCAAUUGUCAGAGGUGAAAUUCUUGGAUUUAUUGAAGACUAACUACUGCGAAAGCAUUUGCCAAGGAUGUUUUCAUUAAUCAAGAACGAAAGUUAGGGGAUCGAAGACGAUCAGAUACCGUCGUAGUCUUAACCAUAAACUAUGCCGACUAGGGAUCGGAUGAUGUUAAUUUUUUAAUGUACUCAUUCGGCGCCU
rnacentral:rRNA from 1 species